UACGUAGGGGGCUAGCGUUGUCCGGAAUCAUUGGGCGUAAAGAGCGUGUAGGCGGUUUGGUAAGUCCGCUGUGAAAGUCCAGGGCUCAACCCUGGAAUGCCAGUGGAAACUGUCAAGCUAGAGUCCGGAAGAGGCGAGUGGAAUUCCUGGUGUAGCGGUGAAAUGCGCAGAUAUCAGGAGGAACACCAAUGGCGAAGGCGACUACCUGGCCUGUUCUUGACGCUGAGGCGCGAAAGCUAGGGGAGCAAACGGG
rnacentral:rRNA from 1 species